AAGUCAAGUUAUUAUUUGUCUUUCCUAAAACUUGGAUAGGCGACAAAACCUUUCUGAGGUCGUGUAGCCUAAAACACUGUGCUUGUGUAUGCAUGCCAGGCCAGUAGUUGGUGGUUCUUUUUUUUAUAAUGAAACACUGUAUGCCAUCACACAUACAGUCCAUCUGUUCAGCAUUGUUUUAGUCAUCAAUGCAUGUUUAUAUAUCCAUAAAUUAAUCAUAAUGGCUACAUUUUCAAAAACUUUACUUUGACACCAGAUUUGAAGGCAUUUUUCUGUGGAAGCCAGUGGCUAUGAUUCCAGUCUGUUAGUGAAGGGCUUUUCUCUUUCAUCCAUAAAAAUAAACUAAUAAUGUGUUUGUCUUGAUUUUUCUUUCCUCUGCAGCCAUAAUGCUUGGUUUUUGUUCUUUCCAUUCUCCAAAGGGUUGUUUUUUCCAAGCCUUUUGAUGAAUGGGCAUUGGCAAGAUUGUUUUUGGUGAUUAGAUCUACACAGAGAUCGUGACUGCAGGGAAUGGCGAGCCUCAACCCUUCUAUUGCUUCGUUUACAAGCGGUUUCGACUUUGAAGUGAAGUAUAUGGGACUGAACGUGCCAGCCCCAGAAUCAGCAUGAAAACACAAGAGGGAGGAUGCUGAAGCUGGAAGUGCUCCAAAGAAGAAAAUGACUUUAGGAAGCUACUUUAAAACUGCUGAACAAGCCUUGCCACCUAACAAACAAAAACUCAGUGCAACCCAGAGAUGGGUUUUCUUUUUCUUUUUGGUUUAUUUGUGGCUAUAAAAUGCAAUAAGAGUACACAAGUGAAUAAAAGUUGAUAAUCAAAGUAAUAAUCAUGAUUAUUAAUCUUUAUUGAAACAGUAUGAUGUUUAAUAGGAAUAUAUUUGUCUGAAUCCAUAAUUUUUACGACUAUUUGUUAAAUAUGUAUGUUUUUUUAAUUCACUGCUUGUUCAAAAAUUAUUAUUUUUCUUUUUAUUUCUCAAUGUAUUAAACCAAUCAGAGUCUCAUCUCCUUUUCCCUUUAUGAGUCAGUAGCAUCAAGCCAUGGCGCAUUUGAUAUUGGCGCAAAGUGGAAAAACUGGAUGCUUUACUAACAAUAAAACAGUGAAAGACCAUCUGCGUGACGAUAAAGACCAUCUACAGAACAA